CACGUAGGGCGCGAGCGUUGUCCGGAAUUAUUGGGCGUAAAGAGCUCGUAGGCGGCCUGUUGCGUCCGCUGUGAAAGCCCGGGGCUUAACCCCGGGUCUGCAGUGGAUACGGGCAGGCUAGAGGUAGGUAGGGGAGAAUGGAAUUCCCGGUGUAGCGGUGAAAUGCGCAGAUAUCGGGAGGAACACCGGUGGUGAAGGCGGUUCUCUGGGCCUUACCUGACGCUGAGGAGCGAAAGCGUGGGGAGCGAACAGG
rnacentral:rRNA from 1 species